rnacentral:rRNA from 1 species
GAAACUCAAAGGAAUUGACGGGGACCCGCACAAGUAGCGGAGCAUGUGGUUUAAUUCGAAGCAACGCGAAGAACCUUACCUAAGCUUGACAUCCCAAUGACAUCUCCUUAAUCGGGGAGUUCCCUUCAGGGACAUUGGUGACAGGUGGUGCAUGGUUGUCGUCAGCUCGUGUCGUGAGAUGUUGGGUUAAGUCCCGCAACGAGCGCAACCCUUGUCUUUAGUUGCCAUCAUUAAGUUGGGCAC